rnacentral:tRNA from 1 species
GCCACGGUGGCACAACCCGGUACUGCGUCAGUCUCGAAAACUGAUCCCGUAAGGGAUUCCCAGUUCAAAUCUGGGCCGUGGCG